rnacentral:rRNA from 1 species
ACGCACGCUGGCGGCGUGCCUAAUACCUGCAAGUUGAGCGAUGAAGAUUGGUGCUUGCCCCAAUUUGAAGAGCAGCGAACGGGUGAGUAACGCGUGGGGAAUCUGCCUUUGAGCGGGGGACAACAUUUGGAAACGAAUGCUAAUACCGCAUAACAACUUUAAACAUAAGUUUUAAGUUUGAAAGAUGCAAUUGCAUCACUCAAAGAUGAUCCCGCGUUGUAUUAGCUAGUUGGUGAGGUAAAGGCUCACCAAGGCGAUGAUACAUAGCCGACCUGAGAGGGUGAUCGGCCACAUUGGGACUGAGACACGGCCCAAACUCCUACGGGAGGCAGCAGUAGGGAAUCUUCGGCAAUGGACGAAAGUCUGACCGAGCAACGCCGCGUGAGUGAAGAAGGUUUUCGGAUCGUAAAACUCUGUUGGUAGAGAAGAACGUUGGUGAGAGUGGAAAGCUCAUCAAGUGACGGUAACUACCCAGAAAGGGACGGCUAACUACGUG